AUGGGUGACUACACAAUCCGGAUAAGCACCAGCUUGAUCGACCAGCUCACACGCGAUGACGAGAAGGUGAAAAGGAGGACCAGGAAACCCAAGCCGAAGAAGGUCGUGGAGCGACAAGAGGAGCCUCAGGACAAUGGCCGGGAACUUCCAAGCGAGCCCAAGAGCAGCCCUGCCCCCGCUCCUGGGUGGGCGCUGCCGCCCCCCAUGUACCUACCAGUGACCCCUGCUCCUCCACCACCCCUGCCGGCAAUCCAGGAAGUUGAAACCAUACGCGACGUGGUGGCGGAGAGCGAGAAUGUGCUGGAGAAGCUGCAGAAGCAGGAAGCGACGAUGCGUGAGGAGCUUACCAGGAGGGCCAAGGAGCUGCACGACAAGGAGUUCAAGCUGCUCUACCAGAACCCCUCGCCGUGCACCGACGAGAGGGCAGGCUGCACCGAUUGCUACCGGAGCAACACCCAGGAUCCGCUCAAGUGCGCCGAGGCGGUCAAAAGGUUCGAGGCGUGCGUUCGCAUGGCGAGUCGGAUGGGGGCUGCUCAGUGA
rnacentral:rRNA from 1 species